rnacentral:rRNA from 1 species
AGAGUUUGAUCCUGGCUCAGAUUGAACGCUGGCGGCAUGCCUUACACAUGCAAGUCGAACGGCAGCACGGGAGCAAUCCUGGUGGCGAGUGGCGAACGGGUGAGUAAUACAUCGGAACGUGUCCUGUAGUGGGGGAUAGCCCGGCGAAAGCCGGAUUAAUACCGCAUACGCUCUACGGAGGAAAGGGGGGGAUCGCAAGACCUCUCGCUACAGGGGCGGCCGAUGGCAGAUUAGCUAGUUGGUGGGGUAAAGGCCUACCAAGGCGACGAUCUGUAGCUGGUCUGAGAGGACGACCAGCCACACUGGGACUGAGACACGGCCCAGACUCCUACGGGAGGCAGCAGUGGGGAAUUUUGGACAAUGGGCGCAAGCCUGAUCCAGCAAUGCCGCGUGUGUGAAGAAGGCCUUCGGGUUGUAAAGCACUUUUGUCCGGAAAGAAAUCCUUUGGGCUAAUACCCUGAGGGGAUGACGGUACCGGAAGAAUAAGCACCGGCUAACUACGUGCCAGCAGCCGCGGUAAUACGUAGGGUGCAAGCGUUAAUCGGAAUUACUGGGCGUAAAGCGUGCGCAGGCGGUCCGCUAAGACAGAUGUGAAAUCCCCGGGCUUAACCUGGGAACUGCAUUUGUGACUGGCGGGCUAGAGUAUGGCAGAGGGGGGUAGAAUUCCACGUAGCAGUGAAAUGCGUAGAGAUGUGGAGGAAUACCGAUGGCGAAGGCAGCCCCCUGGGCCAAUACUGACGCUCAUGCACGAAAGCGUGGGGAGCAAACAGGAUUAGAUACCCUAGUAGUCC